AUACGAAGGGGGCUUGCGUUACUCGGAAUCACUGGGCGUAAAGCGUCCGUAGGCGGUCGGGUAAGUCGGGUGUGAAAGCCCCGGGCUCAACCUGGGAAGUGCACCCGAUACUGCUCGACUCGAGUACGGGAGAGGAUGGCGGAAUUCCCGGUGUAGCGGUGAAAUGCGUAGAGAUCGGGAGGAACACCAGUGGCGAAGGCGGCCAUCUGGCCCGCAACUGACGCUGAGGGACGAAAGCGUGGGGAGCAAACAGGAUUAGAAACCCUAGUAGUCC
rnacentral:rRNA from 1 species